rnacentral:tRNA from 1 species
GGAUUGUGGCUCAGUGGCAGAGCACUUGCCUAGCAUGUGUGAGGCUCUGGGUUCGAGUCUCAGCACCA